CAAAGGCGAAGGCAGUUAUCAAGGACACGCCCGUUGAUCAAGAGCGAAAGUUAAGGGUUCGAAAACGAUCAGAUACCGUUGUAGUCUUAACUAUAAAUGAUACCAUCCGAAGACAGGACACCGUCCUUUUCGACUCCUUCUGGAUCCUGGAGAAAUUACGAGUCUUUGGGUUCUGGGGGGAGUAUGGUCGCAAGGCUGAAACUUAAAGGAAUUGACGGAAGGGCACACAAAGAGUGGAACCUGCGGCUAGAGCGAUUUGGCCGCGAGAGUAACCCCGGGAAACCGGGGUACUAGUGGGCGGAGAGUGCCCGGGCGGGGAGGGGCGGGAGGUAAUUUGACUCAACACGCGAAAACUCACCAGGUCMUGAUACACGUAUGAAAGACAAGCUGAAAGACUUUUCUCAAUGAUGUAAGUGGUGGUGCAUGGCCGUUCUUAGUUCGUGGACUGAUCUGUCUGGUCUAUUCCGAUAACGAGCGAGACCCCUCUGGUCCUAGUAGGGACGGAAGCCCGGCCCUGGGGGAUGGGAAAGGGACCGCCGCGAGGCGGUCCCCUACUAGCGCCCCCGGCUAGCAUUCGUUCUCUCAGUAGCUUCUUAGACACAUUAGGGUUGAAAAAAUCCUUGAAAUGGGUUAAUAACAGGUCAGUCAUGCCCUUAGAUGUCCUGGGCUGCACGCGCGUUACAAUGGCAUGACUCAAAGAGUGCCCGAUUUUCAGGGCGUCCCGCGAUCUAACGGUCGAGGUAACCCGUAAAUCCUGCCUCGACUGGGACAGCCUACUGUAACUAUUGGGCUCGAACGAGGAAUUUUUAGUAGGCGCAGGUCAUUAGCCUGCGCCGAAUGCGUCCCUGCCCUUU
rnacentral:rRNA from 1 species